rnacentral:rRNA from 9 species
AAAUUGAAGAGUUUGAUCAUGGCUCAGAUUGAACGCUGGCGGCAGGCCUAACACAUGCAAGUCGAACGGUAACAGGAAGCAGCUUGCUGCUUCGCUGACGAGUGGCGGACGGGUGAGUAAUGUCUGGGAAACUGCCUGAUGGAGGGGGAUAACUACUGGAAACGGUGGCUAAUACCGCAUAACGUCGCAAGACCAAAGAGGGGGACCUUCGGGCCUCUUGC